rnacentral:lncRNA from 1 species
ACUAAAAAUCAGUCAGAUUUGCUUCAGCCUCAAAGAGUGUGUUUAUGUAAAUUUAAAUGAGUGCUGGCAGAAAGCUGCACCUUUUUUUUUUUUCUUUCUAAAUGGGAAAAUUUAAGCAAAUGUUGUGGCUGGUUUGACCUUCUAUUCAGACUGCUAAAACUUUCUUCAAAUCAGCAGUAAGGCUGUUUAACCUUCUUAUUUUUCAAGUGUCCACUGUAGCAGCACUUUUAAUUUCCUUUAAGAACCUUUCCUUUGCAUUCACAGCUUGGUUAACUGUUUGGGACAAAACUGUUUGGUAUAGCUCAGCUUUCAACAUGCCCUCCUCACUAAGCUUAAUCAUUUCUAGCUUUUGAUUUUAAAGUGAGAGGUACGUGCCUCUUCCUUUUACUUGAAUACUGAGAGGCCACUGUAGGGUUAUUAAUUGACCCAAUUUUAAUAUUGUUGUAUCUCAGAGAAUAGGUAUUUUACAGGGAUGUGUAGACUCAAUCAUUAUUGAAAUGGAAUGUUGACCCUUUAAGGUUUAAUGGGGAGGAAGAAGAUGAAAAUAUUUAAUAUCCUUGUUAAACAUGGGCUGGCAUCAUGGGAUGUUGCUGAUGGAGGUGUUUCACAUUUUAAUCAUGCCAAAGAACCACGCGGUUUGGGAACGAAGUGUGAAAGUGGGAGUGGCUCCAUUCACCAUCACUUUCCAGUAAUCACUUGGAGAAUUUGUGCUUCCUGAUCCUGAAACCUUAAGCCCUCCUCAUAAAAGGAUGUGAAUUGUUAAAAUUCCCAUUAGCUAGCAUAAAGUAACAUUAUUGAAAUCAUUGUGUUGAAAUAUGGUGGGCUCUUCAGCCACAUUCUCACCCUUGGAAAGCAAUCAGCCAGCAGAAAAAUCUCCAAUUUAAAUGACAGCAAAAUGUAUGCUUGGAGUUAUCUGACCAAAUUAGCAACUGAGAUAUUCUAGGGACUUAAUUUGCACAUUGAGUUUUAAUAGUAUUAUAUUUGUAUAGCAGAUUAUAUAACCAAAAAUGUUAAUGGGAAAAUGAUUUUAUUUGACUGGGAAAUUGGCACCCCGACUAAUUGUCUGAAAAGAAGCCAAUUUUAAAAUUCAGAUGCUAUUUGAAUGAACUGGUAUUGGCUGAAUUAGGAUUUAUUGUGUAAAAUAUGCAGUUUUUAAAAAUAGUCUAAGGAAAGAAAAAAGGACUCAAUGAACGAAGUUUGCAUACUUCACUAUGUUCUGGGAUAGGUUUUGCAACGGUACAAACAAGAUGAUCAUAAAGAAUAUUGGGGUUGGAGUAGGGGUGGAGGAAGAUGAAAAAGUGACCUGAAAUGAACAUACGUUAUGAAUGUGUAUGUGGUCAGAGUAAAUAGGAUGGCUUGUCAUCUGUCUAUAAUUUAGCCAGAUAGCAACUCUUUACUAAAAUAUUUGAUUACCUUUUUAUAAAUAACUUGGAGUUUCAUGUGCCUAUUUCAUAUAGAUUAGGAUAAAGUGCCAUACAUAUUUAGGAAUGACCAUGUUUUUGGUAUGCUAUUUGUAGCACUUAACACAUUAAGAAAAUUGUAAGCUUGCAAUUAACUCUGGCAAUAAUUUUUUUUAUGAAAUGUAUUAGCUGCAACUGGCUAAGACUAAAUAAGAAAUUAGAUUGUGUGACAAUCAUAGGAGAAAGCUUUGCGAGUAAUACACUUUAUUCUGUUGAAAAGUCUUUUUUCUUAGUCAAUUGAAAUGGCCUUAUUGUUCUGGCUACCACCUCCUCCUCCUGAAGAAGCUUAGAUCUUCUAAAUAACAGGUGAAAAUGCACUUUUCAUUUAUUACUUGCCUUCAGGAUGUGGAAAGCACAAGGUUUCCUUAGAAAACCAGGCCUUUUCCUCUCCACCCCACCCCCUACCAGCCCUACACUUUAAGACAACAUCUUCAAGUUGCCAUAGACCAACUGUGAGUGUUAAAUGAAUAUCUUUGACAGGAGCUAAGUCUUUUGGGCAUUGAAAUAAGGUUUUCCUCCUCUCU